rnacentral:rRNA from 1 species
UACGUAGGUGGCAAGCGUUGUCCGGAUUUAUUGGGUUUAAAGGGUGCGUAGGCGGUUCUAUAAGUCAGUGGUGAAAUACGGCAGCUCAACUGUCGAGGUGCCAUUGAUACUGAAGAACUUGAGUACAGACGAGGUAGGCGGAAUUGACGGUGUAGCGGUGAAAUGCUUAGAUAUCGGGAGGAACACCAAUGGCGAAGGCAGCUCGCUGGGACGUUACUGACGCUGAGACGCGAAAGCGUGGGGAGCAAACAGGG